AUUGAACGCUGGCGGCAGGCCUAACACAUGCAAGUCGAGCGAGCGGCGGAGGGGUGAGUAAUGUAUGGAGAUCUGCCCGAUAGAGGGGGAUAACUACGGGAAACGGGGGCUAAUACCGCAUACUAUGGGGUGAACCCCGAUGGGGUUAGCGAGUAGGUGGGGGAAAGGCUCACCUAGGCGACGAUCUCUAGCUGGUCUGAGAGGAUGAUCAGCCACACUGGAACUGAGACACGGCCCAGACUCCUAAGGGAGGCAGCAGUGGGGAAUAUGGCACAAUGGGGGAAAGCCUGAUGCAGCCAGGCCGCGUGUAGGAAGAAGGCCUUAGGGUUGUAAAUUACUUUCAUCGGGGAGGCGUUACCCGCAGAAGAAGCACCGGCUAACUCCGUGCCAGCAGCCGCGGUAAUUC
rnacentral:rRNA from 1 species